rnacentral:rRNA from 1 species
GUAGGUUGCGAGUGUUGUCCGGAUUUACUGGGCGUAAAGCGCGCGCAGGUGGUCCUGAAAGUCGAGCGUGAAAGCUCCCGGCCCAACUGGGAGAGGCCGUUCGAAACUUCAGGACUUGAAGGCGGGAGAGGCAAAUGGAAUUUCCGGUGUAGCGGUAAAAUGCGUAGAUACCGGAAGGAACACCAGUGGCGAAAGCGAUUUGCUGGCCCGCCCUUGACACUCAGGCGCGAAAGCUAGGGGAGCGACCGGGAUUAGAUACCCCGUUAGUCCUAGCCGUAAACAAUGGGCACUAGGUGUUGUCGGUAUCGACCCCGGCAGUGCCGAAGCUAACGCAUUAAGUGCCCCGCCUGGGGAGUACGACCGCAAGGUUA